rnacentral:rRNA from 1 species
ACAAUUAGCUGUUGGGACACUAGAUGUUUUAGUAGCGAAGCUAACGCGUGAAAUUGUCCGCCUGGGGAGUACGGUCGCAAGAUUAAAACUCAAAGGAAUUGACGGGGACCCGCACAAGCGGUGGAUGAUGUGGAUUAAUUCGAUGCAACGCGAAGAACCUUACCUGGUCUUGACAUGUACGGAAUCUCUUAGAGAUAGGAGAGUGCCUUCGGGAACCGUAACACAGGUGCUGCAUGGCUGUCGUCAGCUCGUGUCGUGAGAUGUUGGGUUAAGUCCCGCAACGAGCGCAACCCUUGUCAUUAGUUGCCAUCAUUAAGUUGGGCACUCUAAUGAGACUGCCGGUGAUAUGCCGGAGGAAGGUGGGGAUGACGUCAAGUCCUCAUGGCCCUUAUGACCAGGGCUUCACACGUCAUACAAUGGUCGGUACAGAGGGUAGCGAAGCCGCGAGGUGAAGCCAAUCUCAGAAAGCCGAUCGUAGUCCGGAUUGCACUCUGCAACUCGAGUGCAUGAAGUCGGAAUCGCUAGUAAUCGCAGGUCAGCAUACUGCGGUGAAUACGUUCCCGGGUCU